rnacentral:RNase_P_RNA from 1 species
GGUUUCGAGUAAUCGCUGCAAACGAUUUUCGUUUGUAGAGGAAAGUCCAUGCUCACACGGAUCUGAGAUGACCGUAGUGUUCGUGCUUACCGAAAAAAUAAGGUAAGGCAAAGCUUACGCAGCUUUGACGGCGGAAGGAAGACCUAAGUCCUUUUUGGAUAUGGUUGACACUUCCUGAAAAGUGCCACAGUGACGUAGCUUCAUCGGAAACGGUGAAGGUGGAACGCGGUAAACCCCACGAGUGAGAAACCCAAAUUAUGGUAGGGGCGCUCUCCCGAAGGAAAUGAACGGAGGGAGGGACGAGAGAAAUACUCUCGUAGAUAGAUGAUUACUACCUGACAGUACGAGGCAAUCGCCGUUUGAGUACGCAGGAACAGAACAUGGCUUACAGAA